AACAACAAAUGUCUUACUGAUAUUAUUGCUAAUUUUUGCUGGAUCACUUGUACUAUUUUCUAGUUUUAAAAUAUUGUAUCCUUUUUUCUGCCUCUUUCUCCUGUUGUUAUCUGCACAACACACUAGUCAGUCUUUGACGAUGUUGGCUUCUCAUUCUUAGUCUUUUUGUAUAAAUAGGCAUUCCAAGAUCUAAUUCAAUCGGAAGAGUUUCAGACGCUGCCACUAUUGCCACUGACAACUUUCCAAGAUCUAACUUUCUUAUAUGCUUUGUUGUCUACAUUCAUUUAGAGAAAUUAGCCCUUCAAUCUAAAUCUGUUGGUAAUAGCAGUUUUGCUGACUGGAUGAGAGCGAGACCAGAACUCUAUAGCAUUCUUCGCAGCUAGAAAAUUAUGCGAAAACUGAAGAAGCUAAAGUUGAGGAGCUUAUAAAGGCAGUUGCUGAUUCCGGUGCCAAAGUAAUUGUUAGUGGAGCAGCAGUUGGGGAGAUGGCACUUCAUUUCUGUGAGCGCUACAAGGAAAAAGCAGAGAAAAAGUGGGGUACAUGAUGUACUACCAUAUAAACCAACUGCUAAAGAACCAAAAUAUGCCACUUAAAACAGGCAUAUUUUAAUUUCAACUUAAUGGAUUCUUGUUCAUCUAAUGCAGAGCUUCUGAAGCAAGUAUAUUGAGAUGAUUUCUUUGGAGCAAUUCUUGACAACAUUUGUAGUUGAGGCCUUUAGAAUGGAAGAAUGUAUUUCACUAAUUUUUGUAUACAUUUCUUAUUUUGUAUUUAGUGAUAAAUGAAUCUGAAUUG